GUUCGAGAUGUAACCGCCAUUGGGGUAGGAAGCCCGGAAACCUCUCCGGUCCUUUGCUAAUGUUCUGGCUCCCAGAUGAGGUGCAGAAUCAUGGAAGAGGGACAAAACUUUUCCAUUCCUUCUCUCCCUGCUGGAAAUGGGCUAUCACAAAGUCAUCAGCAAAACAAAACAAGACAAAAAGCAAGUCUUGGUGGCUUGUGUGUGUGCACAGCCAAUUAUAACUUCUGGAAGGGCCUGGCGAAACUGGACUCAGGGGAGACGGUGGCAGAUUUCAAAUGUGCAUCCAGUUUUAUUUACCCCUUCCUUAUUCUCUAGUGCAUUCCUGUUUGUCUGUGUGUGUAUCAGACUUCCUAAAGCAAAAGAAAAACAAAAGCCUUACAGGUUAUUUUCUUGCUAUUUAUUACUAUUUUUCAGUAAAGAUAAUAAACAGAUAUAUGAUUUUUAAAAAAAAAAAUCAACCAGAAAUAAAAUGCAGUGAAAACAGAA